rnacentral:tRNA from 6 species
CGGGCUGUAGCGCAGCUUGGUAGCGCGCUUCGUUCGGGACGAAGAGGUCGUGGGUUCGAAUCCCGCCAGCCCGACCA